UACGUAGGGUGCAAGCGUUGUCCGGAAUUAUUGGGCGUAAAGAGCUCGUAGGCGGUCUGUCGCGUCUGCUGUGAAAACUCAGGGCUUAACCCUGAGCUUGCAGUGGGUACGGGCAGACUAGAGUGCGGUAGGGGAGACUGGAAUUCCUGGUGUAGCGGUGAAAUGCGCAGAUAUCAGGAGGGAACACCGGUGGCGAAGGCUGGGUCUCUGGGCCGUAACUGACGC
rnacentral:rRNA from 1 species